UGAGCUAUGACAGGAACGCCUAUAAAGAUUGUUUUUUGAUUUAGGAGUUCCUGUCAUGGCUUAGU
rnacentral:precursor_RNA from 1 species